UCCGGUGGCGGGCCGCGCUCCUCCCUCAGCGGCCCCGAGCGGAGCGGGCCGGGCCCGGCCGGGAGCGGGGGCAGCUCCGGCCUGCAAAGAGCCGGGAGCCCUCGGGACGCACUUUUGGCAAUGGGCUCCAGGGUGGCCCUGCUGGAGCAGGGGGAUUGGACCACUGCGGCCCCCUCCAGCCUGAAGCAUUCUGUGACCGCAAAGAGCAUCUGAGUCUCAUCCUUUUUGGGACUGCCUUAAAAAAGAGGCUAGACAAAAUUAAGAGAAUAAAAAGCAGUUAUAUUUGUUGAAGGGCUUCCAGGGUAUCCAGGCUCCUGAAAGAAUACCUAGAUGAAAGGGAUCGCAAAGUUUGAGUGUUCAAAAUCCAAAGUUUUUUUGUAGCCACAAAAUGGCUAUACAACGGGUGCUGCGAUAGCUACACAUUUGGGCAUCUUUGCUUUAAGCUGAAAACAAAGUGAGCCUGGUCCAAACAGAAACUAUGGAAUGUCAGAAAUGGGACUGCCAG